rnacentral:rRNA from 1 species
UGGGGAAUUUUGCACAAUGGGGGAAACCCUGAUGCAGCGACGCCGCGUGAUUUAGAAGGCCUUCGGGUUGUAAAAAUCUUUUCUAUGGGAAGAAAAUGACAGUACCAUAGGAAUAAGGACCGGCUAAUUACGUGCCAGCAGCCGCGGUAAUACGUAAGGUCCGAGCGUUGUCCGGAAUCAUUGGGCGUAAAGGGUACGUAGGCGGGUAAGCAAGUUAGAAGUGAAAUCCUAUAACUCAACUAUAGUAAGCUUUUAAAACUGCUCAUCUUGAGGUAUGGAAGGGAAAGUGGAAGUCCUAGUAUAGCGGUGAAAUGCGCAGAUAUUAGGAGGAAUACCGGUGGCGAAGGCGACUUUCUGGCCAUAACCUGACGCUGAGGUACGAAAGCGUGGGUAGCAAACAGG